rnacentral:rRNA from 1 species
CAGCCGCCACGGUAAUACGAGGGGGGCAAGCGUUGUUCGGAAUUAUUGGGCGUAAAGGGCGCGUAGGCGGUUUGGCAAGUUUGGUGUGAAAUCUUCGGGCUCAACUCGAAGUCUGCACCGAAAACUGCCGGGCUUGAGUAUGGGAGAGGUGAGUGGAAUUUCCGGUGUAGCGGUGAAAUGCGUAGAUAUCGGAAGGAACACCUGUGGCGAAAGCGGCUCACUGGACCAUUACUGACGCUGAGGCGCGAAAGCUAGGGGAGCAAACAGGAUUAGAUACCCGAGUAGUCCCUGUCUCUUAUAA